UGCCCUUCAGAAGAAUGCUGCUGCGUUAAAUCUUCAAUAGUCCUUUUUGCAGCCUGAAGUUGUUCAACUGAUCCGUCCUUCUCAGCAACGGCAGUGGAAUAUUUUGCUUCAAGGUCACUUAGUUUGGACUUUUCCUUGAGAGAAUUCUGCAAUAAAGGUUUCUCAGCAGCCUCAGCCUUGAGCUUUUCAACCUCAGAUUUUAAAGCAGCUUCUCGUGCUCUUUGUUCCUUGAGCUGUUCUUUAAGGAUGGCUAUCUCUAGCUGGCGCGAAGGCAUCUGUGGCAAACAGAUGUAGCUAAUAACCAUAAAGCAACAAUAUUUAGCCGUAAUAUAAUUACAAAAAAGUUUGGUGCUUUCCAGAAAUUCCAGAAAAUCCAUUAGCUUCCAAAUCUCUCUGGCUGAAUGUUUCAAUGGCUUCUUGCAACUUCGUUUCAGCUUCCACAAUGCGGGCUUCGGAAGCAGAAUGAAGUUCUAAGGCUCUCGAGUGCUUAUCUGUUAAUUCUUCAACAGUGCUCUUGUGCAAAGGCUCUGAACUGCAUCCUAACAUCAUGUGUAAAAACAAGCAAGAGGAGGCACCAACUCAUUAGUGGGUGAAGUCUUUUGGCAGCGUCCCGACUCCAAACCAAAACAAAAAUAAAAAGAUGCAGGACAAUUCGAAGAUAAUACCUGGUGACUGGGAAGGCGACCGAUCAUCCAACUCACGGACAACCAGCUUUGCCCUUGGAUCAACAACUUCAAACAAAUCUGAGGCCAAAGGAAAAUGUUACAAACUUUACACAUCAAGGGCACAAGAAACGUCGCAGUAAUACAAGGAACUCUGACGUGGAGCUUCUACAGGGAUGAUCUAUAUAGCAAACGAUCGUAGAUAUGUAUAAGAUGGGUGGUGCAGGUGCUACAAUAGGGAUUUUGACUAUUAACUGCUUGAUCAGUCGUAUCCUAUGGACCAGACCGAACUGACAAUACCUGGUUGACACCCCAGAAAAACACGACUGAUCAAGGGCACAUGCUAAUAUGAAUAACUAGCCAGAUUUCUCCGGCUCACUUUCAUAUCAUAUUUGCAGAAUUCAUGAAA